rnacentral:tRNA from 1 species
GCCUUCGUAGUGUAACGGUAGCACAUUCGGUGCAUAUUCGAGAGUUUCAGGUUCCAGUCCCGGCGAGGGCG